rnacentral:tRNA from 1 species
UCGAAAUCGGUAGACGCUACGGAGUUAAAAUCCGUUGGCUUUUUAGACCGUGAGGGUUCAAGUCCCUCUACCCCCCCGA